rnacentral:rRNA from 1 species
CACGUGAGCAACCUGGCUCUAAGAGGGGGACAACAGUUGGAAACGACUGCUAAUACCGCAUAACGUAUCGGGAUGGCAUCUUCCUGAUACCAAAGAUUUUAUCGCUUAGAGAUGGGCUCGCGUCUGAUUAGAUAGUUGGCGGGGUAACGGCCCACCAAGUCGACGAUCAGUAGCCGAACUGAGAGGUUGAACGGCCACAUUGGGACUGAGACACGGCCCAGACUCCUACGGGAGGCAGCAGUGGGGGAUAUUGGACAAUGGGGGCAACCCUGAUCCAGCGACGCCGCGUGAGGGAAGAAGGUUUUCGGAUUGUAAACCUCUGUUGACGGAGAAAAAAAUGAUGGUAUCCGUUUAGAAAGCCACGGCUAACUACGUGCCAGCAGCCGCGGUAAUACGUAGGUGGCAAGCGUUGUCCGGAAUUACUGGGUGUAAAGGGAGUGUAGGCGGGAUGUCAAGUCAGAAGUGAAAAUUACGGGCUCAACUCGUAACCUGCUUUUGAAACUGACAUUCUUGAGUGAAGUAGAGGCAAGCGGAAUUCCUAGUGUAGCGGUGAA